GUCUUCUCUGCCGAGGCUACAGCCCACACCCUCCGCUCCUCCUCAUGGUAUCAAGAUGCAGAGAGCAGUGCAGAAGGGACAGACUGCCUGCUGGAGAGAAGCUGGGCUGCCCUGCUCCACAUACCAAGGAUGGAGGCAGAAGGACAGAAUAACAGUACCAAGUGCAUGUGGAUCUGCACUACAGGGGUGCCAGCAGGAAUCUCAUACAUGGAGAUGGUUGGCUUUCUUCCUGACUCAGCACUCCAUUGAUUUCCAAGGACUCCUCCACCACAUUCACAGCAGCUCCAGGCUGGGCCCUCUGACACAGGUAGCACAGACACCCCAGGCCCUCUCUGUGGUGAUGUAGAAUGUAUGUUUUUAGUUAAUAAAAUGUGUAUGCAUAUGGGUGUUUUGCCUGCAUGCAUGUCCUUAGCUCAACCCUGGAUCCAUCUUG
rnacentral:lncRNA from 1 species